GGAAUAGAUAGACUGUUCAAAAGUCGUGAAGUUAACCAUGGGCAAAGGAGCCUGAAAGCUGCCAACCACCUCACCUUAUAUGUUUAGCUAAACCAACAAUGUAAAAAAAGAGUAGACAAUUGUCUCUUUGCUGCCCAAUGACCCAUAUUUCUCCUUUCAUUGCCUUUAGGUUCUGCUAUACCAAGGUUGGUGGCAAAAGUAAAGGGACCAAAAACAAGUCCAAGUAUAUUAUAUAGGCAACGGAACAUUAUCAAGUUCGACGAAGAUUGACUACAGCAUUGACCAUUAUUGCUUGUUAGGUGUUGAGUUUUACAAUGGGAUUCAGCAGAGAGUAACGGCAAGU